AUAACUUGCCCGGUCGUAAGACGUAUAACUCCUGCUCAUGGUCAAAACCAUCAGUUCCCAUUUUUAGCAGAAAAUACUUGAGUCGGUGGCUAGAAAAGUGUGCAUUUCCUAUGCAAAUUCAUGUCAAGACUCUCAAUAUUUUAGAGGGCAAUUAGCUGGAUAUAAAAUAAAACAGCCCAGCUUAGGCCAGGCCAUGGGACUUAACAUUGAUGCAUCUCAGGGACCCAGUGCUAUGAAGGGAGAGGAACUGCCUCACUUCUCUGUUACCAAGGUUCCCAGUCUCCAUGGCAACCCUACAUCCGGAGUUAUUGGGAUAAUUGAGAUACUACCGGUGCCUUAAUGUUUCCAGGUACCUGAGGGUCUCCAGGUAUCAUCACUGCAUGGGCCAGCGGCAGGGUCUACACGGCUAAAACAACCAGUGCAGAGGGGAUACUGAAUUCAUCCUGAUGGCUUCUCAGUGUAUAUUCAGGCCCCAUCAGCAACCAUAGAUGAUAGGUCAAGAAGAGUUUCAUCAAUGGAAUACAGAUCCACCCUCCAGGCCCAGAAAAGCAGCAAAACCAGACCAGCGACCCCAUGGCUGCCUCAGGACCAGCUGGAUUGACGAAGGACCCCCUGCCCUGGUGCCAGCCAGUCAGUCAGCUCUGAAAGGGCUCACCUGGAAAGCUGCUGAAUAUUCCAUUAGGAGCCCCUGGGACCUCCCCUCAAAUCUCCACCCUUAAAACCCUAGGACUGAGGACCCAGUGCGCUUGCUCUCCCUCCUGGGAGCCGCCAGAGCCUUUCCCUUUUCCUGUUCCCUCCCCAUACCCCGCUCCCCGCCAGGCUUGUUACCAUUAUCAUUACCUUCCUCACUCCCAAGCUCCCAGGGCUCUUCCUUUACCUCAUAACUCCUCUCCUCAGCCCAUCUCUUCUACGAAUGACUUCCGCUACCUCUGUGACUUUAUAAAGAAAUAUUCUCUUCUAGUUGAGUCUUGGCUCUGAAUUCUUUCCCAGCCAGAACCCAAGUACCGAGGUUGCUGAACCCAGGUCCAGUCUGACCUUAUGGGUCUAAGACCCACUGCCAUCGGCGCCGCCUGCAAGGGAAGAAAAGAUGAUUCUGGAACCUACAUCAUCAGGCUGGGGUGGACACUGGACACAGAACCAAAUCAAUAGUCAACAUACAGUUGGAGGCGGUUUCCCAUGCAAGCUAAACAGACGUCCUUGGGUCUGAGCGGUCUGAUGUAUUCACUCAGCAAACAGUGUCACCUGCUGAGAA